CGGAGGAAAAGAAACCAACAGGGAUUGCCUCAGUAACGGCGAGUGAAGCGGCAAGAGCUCAAAUUUGAAAUCUGGCCCCUUCGGGGUCCGAGUUGUAAUUUGUAGAGGAUGCUUCGGGUGCGGCCCCCGUCUAAGUGCUCUGGAACGGGCCAUCGGAGAGGGUGAGAAUCCCGUCUGGGACGGGGUGUCCGCGUCCAUGUGAAGCUCCUUCGACGAGUCGAGUUGUUUGGGAAUGCAGCUCUAAAUGGGUGGUAAAUUUCAUCUAAAGCUAAAUACUGGCCGGAGACCGAUAGCGCACAAGUAGAGUGAUCGAAAGAUGAAAAGCACUUUGAAAAGAGAGUUAAACAGCACGUGAAAUUGUUGAAAGGGAAGCGCUUGCGACCAGACUCGCUUCCGGGGUUCAGCCGGCUUUCGGGCCGGUGUACUUCCCCGGGGGCGGGCCAGCGUCGGUUUGGGCGGCCGGUCAAAGGCCCCUGGAAUGUAACGCCCCUCGGGGCGCCUUAUAGCCAGGGGUGUCAUGCGGCCAGCCUGGACCGAGGAACGCGCUUCGGCACGGACGCUGGCAUAAUGGUCGUAAACGACCCGUCUUGAAACACGGACCAAGGAGUCUAACAUCUACGCGAGUGUUCGGGUGUCAAACCCGUGCGCGCAGUGAAAGCGAACGGAGGUGGGAGCCCCCUCGAGGGGCGCACCAUCGACCGAUCCUGAUGUCUUCGGAUGGAUUUGAGUAAGAGCGUAGCUGUGGGGACCCGAAAGAUGGUGAACUAUGCCUGAAUAGGGCGAAGCCAGAGGAAACUCUGGUGGAGGCUCGCAGCGGUUCUGACGUGCAAAUCGAUCGUCAAAUUUGGGUAUAGGGGCGAAAGACUAAUCGAACCAUCUGGUAGC
rnacentral:rRNA from 1 species